rnacentral:rRNA from 1 species
UACGUAGGGUGCAAGCGUUAAUCGGAAUUACUGGGCGUAAAGCGUGCGCAGGCGGUUCGCUAAGACCGAUGUGAAAUCCCCGGGCUUAACCUGGGAACUGCAUUGGUGACUGGCGGGCUAGAGUAUGGCAGAGGGGGGUAGAAUUCCGACGUGUAGCAGUGAAAUGCGUAGAGAUGUGGAGGAAUACCGAUGGCGAAGGCAGCCCCUGGGCCAAUACUGACGCUCAUGCACGAAAGCGUGGGGAGCAACAGG